AGAGUUUGAUCAUGGCUCAGGACGAACGCUGGCGGCGUGCUUAACACAUGCAAGUCGUGGGCACCAGCAAUGGUGACCGGCGAACGGGUGCGUAACACGUGAGCGACCUACCGAUUCGUGGGGGAUAGCCGGCCCAACGGCCGGGUAAUACCGCAUAAGCCAAGGAGACCGCAUGGUCUACUUGGGAAACCUCCGGGGCG
rnacentral:rRNA from 1 species